AUUAUAUUUCAGCGUUUUGCUCUUACAUGCGUUUUAUAUUUAAAGACAAUAUGGGUGAAUAAAGUGUAAUACAAUAGUUUUAAUAAUUUAGUGGAAAAGGCCAAAUUAUGAUCAAAGAUACACCCGUAAAUUUUUUUCUGGUAUGCCUUUAUAUACCGUAUCCAAGUCGACCACACUUUGUUUGGCCAUUACAUUGGUGCUUACUGGCUGACAUAUGCAACCAUACCUGGAUACCCGAAUGUGGGGAAGAGCCUGAUAAUCCGUCACCGUAUCAGAGAAGACUGUUCAUUGAUGAAUGUGAUAUGUACGAAUACAAUUGUGAUGAAAGAAGAGAUUUUGAACCCAUAAACUACUCGGAUUGCUUCAAUUUGCCUGCAUCUCAAUGUCCGCCGAUACCUGCCUGCCCCUCACAUCCACCAUGUCCAGACCAUAGGUUUCAUAGAGCGGGCGAUAGAUACAUUUCUGUGCCGUACAGAAGAUUUGGACUGCAAAGGACUACCAAAGAAAUGUCGCUACCAAAGAAUAUGUUAAGUGGCAAAAGAAGAUAUACCCCAAAAAGACGGAGACAUCUACACAAGCAUACAACUGCAACGACCAUUAAUAAACCAAAAACGAAAGUGACUUUGAGUACGGUAAUAUUAAAGAA